rnacentral:rRNA from 1 species
CUACGUGCCAGCAGCCGCGGUAAUACGGAGGGUGCGAGCGUUAAUCGGAAUAACUGGGCGUAAAGGGCACGCAGGCGGUUAUUUAAGUGAGGUGUGAAAGCCCCGGGCUUAACCUGGGAAUUGCAUUUCAGACUGGGUAACUAGAGUACUUUAGGGAGGGGUAGAAUUCCACGUGUAGCGGUGAAAUGCGUAGAGAUGUGGAGGAAUACCGAAGGCGAAGGCAGCCCCUUGGGAAUGUACUGACGCUCAUGUGCGAAAGCGUGGGGAGCAAACAGGAUAGAUACCCUGGUAGUCCACGCUGUAAACGCUGUCGAUUUGGGGAUUGGGCUUAAAGCUUGGUGCCCGUAGCUAACGUGAUAAAUCGACCGCCUGGGGAGUACGGCCGCAAGGUUAAAACUCAAAUGAAUUGACGGGGGCCCGCACAAGCGGUGGAGCAUGUGGUUUAAUUCGAUGCAACGCGAAGAACCUUACCUACUCUUGACAUCCAUGGAAUCCAGUAGAGAUACGGGAGUGCUUCGGGA